UUAAAAGGAAGUUCUGCUAAGAGCGCGGCGUCCUGCCGCAACGCAGAACUGACCCGCAUCCUGCGGG
rfam:Bacillus sp. SJS contig_01, whole genome shotgun sequence.